AGAAUCAACGCUGGCGGCGUGCCUAACACAUGCAAGUCGAGCGGAAAGGCCCUUCGGGGUACUCGAGCGGCGAACGGGUGAGGUAACACGUGAGCAACCUGCCCCUGGCUCUGGGAUAGCCUCCGGAAACGGGGAUUAAUACCGGACAUGACCCUUGACCGCAUGGUUGGGGGUGGAAAGUUUUUCGGCCAGGGUGGGGCUCGCGGCCUAUCAGCUUGUUGGGGGGGUGACGGCCCACCAAGGCGACGACGGGUAG
rnacentral:rRNA from 1 species